rnacentral:rRNA from 1 species
GACGAACGCUGGCGGCGUGCUUAACACAUGCAAGUCGAGCGGGUAAGGCCCUUUCGGGGGUACGACGAGCGGCGAACGGGUGAGUAACACGUGGGUGACCUGCCCUCAGCUCUGGGAUAAGCCUGGGAAACCGGGUCUAAUACCGGAUAUGACUCCAUGACGCAUGUUGUGGGGUGGAAAGCCUUGUGCGGCUGAGGAUGGGCCCGCGGCCUAUCAGCUUGUUGGUGGGGUGAUGGCCUACCAAGGCGACGACGGGUAGCCGGCCUGAGAGGGCGACCGGCCACACUGGGACUGAGACACGGCCCAGACUCCUACGGGAGGCAGCAGUGGGGAAUCUUGCGCAAUGGGCGAAAGCCUGACGCAGCGACGCCGCGUGAGGGAUGACGGCCU